rnacentral:ncRNA from 1 species
GAAAGUCGUGUGCAAUGAAAAAUGCAAGCACGAUUUGGGGAGGGAUUUUUCUCUAUUGUAACAAGGAACCGGCGGCCGACUCCAGC